UGCNGUCGAACGGUAACAGGCCGCUGUGAUCCCUUCGGGGUGAACUUGGCGCUGACGAGUGGCGGACGGGUGAGUAACGCGUAGGAAUCUGCCCAGUAGUGGGGGACAACUUGGGGAAACUCAAGCUAAUACCGCAUACGCCCUACGGGGGAAAGCGGGGGAUCUUCGGACCUCGCGCUAUUGGAUGAGCCUGCGUCGGAUUAGCUAGUUGGUGGGGUAAUGGCCUACCAAGGCGACGAUCCGUAGCUGGUCUGAGAGGAUGAUCAGCCACACUGGGACUGAGACACGGCCCAGACUCCUACGGGAGGCAGCAGUGGGGAAUAUUGGACAAUGGGGGCAACCCUGAUCCAGCAAUGCCGCGUGUGUGAAGAAGGCCUGCGGGUUGUAAAGCACUUUCAAUUGGGAAGAAAAGCAGACGGUUAAUAUCUGUCUGUCUUGACGUUACCUUUAGAAGAAGCACCGGCUAACUCCGUGCCAGCAGUCGCGGUAAUACGGAGGGUGCGAGCGUUAAUCGGAAUUACUGGGCGUAAAGCGCGCGUAGGCGGCUGUGUAAGUCGGAUGUGAAAGCCCCGGGCUUAACCUGGGAACUGCGUUCGAUACUGCACAACUAGAGUAUGGGAGAGGGAAGUGGAAUUUCCGGUGUAGCGGUGAACUGCGNAGAUAUCGGAANGAACACCAGUGGCGAANGCGACUUCCUGGCCCNAUACUGACGCUGANGUGCGAAAGCGUGGGGAGCAAACA
rnacentral:rRNA from 1 species